AUCAAAGGCUUGCAACAAAGUACCAAUAAUGGUGACUCUGUAAUCGGACAGGCCGAUUUCUAUCUGCUCUGUGUGGCUCUUAUAAGAAGGAAAUACCAGCUAACUUUCAGGAGUUCCUCUGGAACCAAAGCCGGCCAUUGAAACUCUGUUGUAGGUAUCUUCCAGGUUUCCCUUUCCCUCUCCGUGAACUAAUAAGCAUAAAAGAGCUUCAUGCUAGAAGAGGAGGGAGGACCCAGAAGGGUUGAUAUUUUGAGAAGCGCCUCAUCUGAAGUCUGGUCAAGGAGGCUCUUUGUUUAGCCCUUAUUUAUGAAGAUGGAAACGACCCAGGAAAGGCAGAGACCUUCAUUGAACUGGCCUUAAGGCCUUCAGGCAGCUCUCACCUUGGGCAUGAGUUUGCCAUUGUUCCUCUCACCAUAGAAAAUGUGGCUAUGCUACUACUGCUGUCCUGCCUAAAGGGUGUGUGGUGUCCACCAGAUGGACAUCUAAGCAUUCAUGUUGAUGCCACAGACUCACGGCAGAAGAGGAGGCAGAAAGAAUGGAAGAGCCAGAAAACAGGGAGGAGUGAUUUGGGACACUGUCUUCCAGACACGAAGUGGCCAUUGCAUUCCUGACCUGGCAGCAGCUGUCAUUACCUGCGCAAGACUGGGCUCGUCAGCAUUCCCUCAUGGAUGGUGAGGGAGGGCAAGAAAAAGAUAUCGAAGUAGAAGGGACACUAGUGGAAAAGAAGAAGGACUCGGUGGAAGAAGACAGGGGAAAGGGUGACAAAAAAGAAGGUAACAAGAGAUGGUUAUGAACAAAAUAUACCAUGUGUAUGUAUGAAAAUUUCUGUAGUGGUUUGAAUGUGAAAUGUCCCCACAACCUCCCAUCUUUUGACUACUUGGGCCCCCUCUGGUGGCAGUUUGGGAGCUGGAGCUUUGCUGGAAGAAGGUGCGGCACUGGGGGAUGGGCAGACUAUGAGGUUUAUUAGUCCCACUCACUGGGUGUUCAGAGCUAGCUCCCUUGGACGACUUCGUUCCUCUGAUGCUGUGACAAGCCAUGGCACCCAGUUGUCCGCUGUGCCGUGUCCUCACCGCCAUGGUGAAGCUUCCCUUUCCUUCCAUCCGCUGCUUUUGGUUGGGUGUUUUAUCCCAGCCAUGAGACGUAAGUGCUGCCGU